rnacentral:rRNA from 1 species
UACGAAGGGAGCUAGCGUUGUUCGGAAUCACUGGGCGUAAAAGCGCACGUAGGCGGAUGUGUCAGUCAGGGGUGAAAUCCCGGAGCUCAACUUCGGAACUGCCUUUGAUACAGCACGUCUUGAGUCCGAUAGAGGUGGGUGGAAUUCCUAGUGUAGAGGUGAAAUUCGUAGAUAUUAGGAAGAACACCGGUGGCGAAGGCGGCCCACUGGAUCGGUACUGACGCUGAGGUGCGAAAGCGUGGGGAGCAAACAGG